rnacentral:rRNA from 1 species
GACGAACGCUGGCGGCGUGCCUAAUACAUGCAAGUCGAACGCAGUGGGGACGGGUGAGUAACACGUGGGUAACCUCCCAUCAGAGGGGAUAACACUUGGAAACAGGUGCUAAACCGAUACUGAUGGAUGGACCAGCGGGGCAUUAGCUAGUUGGUGAGGUAAAGGCUCACCAAGGCCACGAUGCGUAGCCGACCUGAGAGGAGGAUCGGCCACACGGGGACUGCGACACGGCCCAGAAUCCUACGGGAGGCAGCAGUGGGGAAUAUUCGGCAAUGGACGAAAGUCUGACCGAGCCAUGCCGCGUGAGUGAAGAAGGUUUUCGGAUCGUAAAGCUCUGUUGUUAGAGAAGCGGUAUCUAACCAGUAAGCCACGGCUAACUACGUGCCAGCAGCCGCGGUAAUUC